UUAGUUUAUAUUAAAAGAAUAAUAUAUAUUUGAUAUAUCUAAUUAAAAUUUUGGUGAAUUUAAAUGUAUAGAUUUGUGUGGAUUUGAUUAUCUAAUUUUUUAAAAUCUUGAUUUUAGAGCUCAACUUUUUUAUUUAUUUGAUUUACAUCAUUUGAUGACUCUUCUACACAAAAUUUAAGUAAAUUAUGUAUCUUAGUAAAUUUAUAGUUGUAUGAAUUGUAUAAAUAUACUGAUUAAACCUACAAAGAUAAAUGAGCAAUUAAAAUUAAA
rnacentral:lncRNA from 1 species